rnacentral:rRNA from 1 species
AUUGAACGCUGGCGGCAUGCCUUACACAUGCAAGUCGAACGGCAGCACGGACUUCGGUCUGGUGGCGAGUGGCGAACGGGUGAGUAAUGUAUCGGAACGUACCGAGUAAUGGGGGAUAACGCACCGAAAGGUGUGCUAAUACCGCAUACGCCUCCGGGGAAAGCAGGGAUCGCAAGACCUUGCGUUAUUCGAGCGGCCGACGUCUGAUUAGCUAGUUGGUGGGGUAAUGGCUCACCAAGGCGACGAUCAGUAGCGGGUCUGAGAGGAUGAUCCGCCACACUGGGACUGAGACACGGCCCAGACUCCUACGGGAGGCAG